rnacentral:rRNA from 1 species
AUUGAACGCUGGCGGCAGGCCUAACACAUGCAAGUCGAACGGUAACAGGAAGAAGCUUGCUUCUUUGCUGACGAGUGGCGGACGGGUGAGUAAUGUCUGGGAAACUGCCUGAUGGAGGGGGAUAACUACUGGAAACGGUAGCUAAUACCGCAUAACGUCGCAAGACCAAAAAGGGGGACCUUCGGGCCUCUUGCCAUCGGAUGUGCCCAGAUGGGAUUAGCUAGUAGGUGGGGUAACGGCUCACCUAGGCGACGAUCCCUAGCUGGUCUGAGAGGAUGACCAGCCACACUGGAACUGAGACACGGUCCAGACUCCUACGGGAGGCAGCAGUGGGAAUAUUGCACAAUGGGCGCAAGCCUGAUGCAGCCAUGCCGCGUGUAUGAAGAAGGCCUUCGGGUUGUAAAGUACUUUCAGCGGGGAGGAAGGGAGUAAAGUUAAUACCUUUGCUCAUGGACGUUACCCGCAGAAGAAGCACCGGCUAACUCCGG